UGGGGAAUCUUGCACAAUGGGGGCAACCCUGAUGCAGCGACGCCGCGUGAGCGAUGAAGCCCUUCGGGGCGUAAAGCCCUUUCGACCGGAACGAUAAUGACGGUACCGGGAGAAGAAGCUGCGGCUAACUACGUGCCAGCAGCCGCGGUAAUACGUAGGCAGCAAGCGUUAUUCGGAGUUACUGGGCGUAAAGAGUGCGUAGGCGGUUUUCUAAGUUCGGUGUGAAAUCUCCCGGCUUAACUGGGAGGGUGCGCCGAAGACUGGGAAGCUGGAGUGUGGGAAAGNCAGGCGGAAUUCCUGGUGUAGCGGUGAAAUGCGUAGAUAUCAGGAGGAACACCGGCGGUGUAGACGGCUUGCUAGACCAUAACUGACGCUGAGGCACGAAAGCGUGGGUAGCAAACA
rnacentral:rRNA from 1 species